rnacentral:rRNA from 1 species
AAAUUGCCUUCGGGUGAUGGAAAGCGGCGAAAGGGAGAGUAACACGCGGGUACCUACCCUCAGGACCGGGAUAGCUGCGGGAAACUGCAAUUAAUACCGGAUGAUGUCUCCGGACCAAAGGUGUGAUUCCGCCGGAGGAGGGGCCCACGUCCUAUCAGCUAGUUGGCGAGGUAAUAGCUCACCAAGGCUACGACGGGUACGGGGUGUGAGAGCAUGCCCCCGCUCACUGGGACUGAGACACUGCCCAGACACCUACGGGUGGCUGCAGUCGAGAAUCUUCCGCAAUGGGCGAAAGCCUGACGGAGCGACGCCGCGUGCGGGAUGAAGGCCUUCGGGUUGUAAACCGCUGUCAGUGGGGAGGAAAUGCAUGGGGGUUCUCCCUCGUGUUUGACCGAUCCGCAGAGGAAGCACAGGCUAAGUUCGUGCCAGCAGCCGCGGUAACACGAACUGUGCAAACGUUAUUCGGAAUCACUGGGCUUAAAGAGUUCGUAGGCGGCACGUUAAGUCGGGUGUGAAAUCCCUCGGCUCAACCGAGGAAUUGCGUCCGAAACUGGCGUGCUUGAGUGAGAUAGAGGUGCGCAGGCGGAAUGAUAAGUCAGUGGUGAAAUCUCCCGGCUCAACCGGGAAACUGCCAUUGAUACUGCCAUUCUUGAGUACAGUUGAAGUGGGCGGAAUGUGUCAUGUAGCGGUGAAAUGCUUAGAUAUGACACAGAACACCGAUAGCGAAGGCAGCUCACUAAGCUGUAACUGACGCUCAUGCACGAAAGCGUGGGGAUCAAACAGGAUUAGAUACCCUGGUAGUCCACGCUGUAAACGAUGAUCACUCGUUGUAGCGAUAUACUGUUAGCGACUGAGCGAAAGCAUUAAGUGAUCCACCUGGGGAGUACGGCGGCAACGUUGAAACUCAAAGGAAUUGACGGGGGCCCGCACAAGCGGAGGAGCAUGUGGUUUAAUUCGAUGAUACGCGAGGAACCUUACCUGGGCUUAAAUGCAGAACGACGUUUCGUGAAAGCGGAAUUUCCUUCGGGACGUUUUGCAAGGUGCUGCAUGGUUGUCGUCAGCUCGUGCCGUGAGGUGUCGGGUUAAGUCCCAUAACGAGCGCAACCCUUAUCAUUAGUUGCCAUCAGGUAAUGCUGGGAACUCUAAUGAAACUGCCUACGCAAGUAGUGAGGAAGGUGGGGAUGACGUCAAAUCAGCACGGCCCUUAUGUCCAGGGCGACACACGUGCUACAAUGGCCAGUACAGAGGGUUGCUACCUGGUGACAGGAUGCUAAUCUCGAAAGCUGGUCUCAGUUCGGAUCGAAGUCUGCAACUCGACUUCGUGAAGUUGGAUUCGCUAGUAAUCGCGCAUCAGCCAUGGCGCGGUGAAUACGUUCCCGGGCCUUGUACACACCGCCCGUCAAGCCAUGGGAGUUGGGGGUACCUAAAGUCCGUAACCGUAAGGAGCGGCCUA